rnacentral:misc_RNA from 1 species
UGAGAAUGGGUCACAGGAAAUAUUAUUAGACUACUAAAGUGGAUAAGCCCCCGAAGAAGGCUGCAUACAUUCUUCAAGAAUCUCCUUAAUCUCUUGUUCUCCCUAGAGAAUAUCCAUUCUUGCCUUUCACGUCCGAAUAACCUUUCAUCCCUCCUGAGUGCUGCAUCCCAGAAGACCCUGCCCUGUCUCUAGCAUCUGCUACAGUCCUAUUCAAAUGCUGUGCAUGCUCGGUGGAUGGAAGCGCCCAACCUCCCCUGCUUGCCUGUGCAUUCUGUCCGCCAAUGCUAGCACCGAUACUAUCAUGGCCACUGAAACUCCCACUCCAGCCAGGAAGACACUGUCUAGCACUUCCUUUCCAAGCUUCUUCAAAACCAGCAAGCUCAUCUUCUUGGAUAUUAUGCAAGGUCUGCAUGGCAUCCACCUUACCAUCUGAAUUAAGCCUCCUUUCAAGGGUAUGACCCUUGCCUUUAAGUCCCCGAGAAAUCCUGUGAGCUGCUUGCCUUGUAGCACUAUCAGCUUCUUUGCUUUCUUCAAUUGUCACCCCAUCACUCCCAGUCCUCCUACUCUUCGAUGAAGUAUAAUAAGCACCAUUGGAACCACCGUAUGUUACAGUAGAGCUCUGAAAAGUAAAGCUGCGAGUUUGGGGCUG